UACGUAGGGUGCAAGCGUUGUCCGGAAUUAUUGGGCGUAAAGAGCUCGUAGGUGGUUUGUCGCGUUGUUCGUGAAAACUCACAGCUUAACUGUGGGCGUGCGGGCGAUACGGGCAGACUUGAGUACUGCAGGGGAGACUGGAAUUCCUGGUGUAGCGGUGGAAUGCGCAGAUAUCAGGAGGAACACCGGUGGCGAAGGCGGGUCUCUGGGCAGUAACUGACGCUGGAGGAGCGAAAGCGUGGGGAGCGAACAGG
rnacentral:rRNA from 1 species